GCUCCUACCGAUUUCGAGUGAUCCGGUGAACCAUUUGGACCGUUUUGGGCUUCGUGCCUAGAGUGGGAAAUCUAGUAAAUCUUAUCACUUAGAGGAAGGAGAAGUCGUAACAAGGUUUCC
rnacentral:rRNA from 1 species